CAGCCGUAAACUAUGCGCGUUAGGUGUACUGGUGACCACGAGUCACCGGGGUGCCGAAGGGAAACCGUGAAACGUGCCGCCUGGGAAGUACGGUCGCAAGGCUGAAACUUAAAGGAAUUGGCGGGGGAGCACCGCAACGGGAGGAGCGUGCGGUUUAAUUGGAUUCAACGCCGGGAAGCUCACCGGAUAGGACAGCAGAAUGAUUGCCGGGCUGAAGACCCUGCAUGACUAGCUGAGAGGAGGUGCAUGGCGUCAGUGACU
rnacentral:rRNA from 1 species